rnacentral:rRNA from 1 species
GAUGAACGCUGGCGGCGUGCCUAAUACAUGCAAGUCGAGCGAACAGAUAAGGAGCUUGCUCCUUUGAAGUUAGCGGCGGACGGGUGAGUAACACGUGGGUAACCUACCUAUAAGACUGGGAUAACUUCGGGAAACCGGAGCUAAUACCGGAUAACAUUUAGAACCGCAUGGUUCUAAAGUGAAAGAUGGUUUUGCUAUCACUUAUAGAUGGACCCGCGCCGUAUUAGCUAGUUGGUAAGGUAACGGCUUACCAAGGCGACGAUACGUAGCCGACCUGAGAGGGUGAUCGGCCACACUGGAACUGAGACACGGUCCAGACUCCUACGGGAGGCAGCAGUAGGAAAUCUUCCGCAAUGGGCGAAAGCCUGACGGAGCAACGCCGCGUGAGUGAUGAAGGGUUUCGGCUCGUAAAACUCUGUUAUUAGGGAAGAACAAAUGUGUAAGUAACUGUGCACAUCUUGACGGUACCUAAUCAGAAAGCCACGGCUAACUACGUG